CUUCACCGAGCCGAGCCAGAGCGGCCGCUCGCGAUCCUGGCCGUAGGUGGCGAGCAGGGCCUCCGCCUC
rnacentral:antisense_RNA from 1 species